rnacentral:rRNA from 1 species
AUGCUCAUAAAUCAGUUAUAGUUUAUUUGAUGGUUCCUCGCUACAUGGAUAACUGUGGUAAUUCUAGAGCUAAUACAUGCUGAAGGCCCCGACUCGCGAAGGGGCGUGUUUAUUAGACCAAAGACCAACGCCCUCCGGGGCUCGCUGGUGAAUCAUGAUAACCGCACGAAUCGCAUGGCCUUGCGCCGGCGAUGGUUCAUUCAAAUUUCUGCCCUAUCAGCUUUCGAUGGUAGGAUAGUGGCCUACCAUGGCGUCAACGGGUGACAGGCAAUUAGGGUUGGAUUCUGGAGAGGGGGCCUGAGAAAUGGCCACCACAUCCAAGGAAGGCAGCAGGCGCGCAAAUUACCCAAUCCCGACACGGGGAGGUAGUGACAAAACAUACUGAUGCAGGGCUCUUUUGGGUCUUGCAAUCGGAAUGGGUACAACCUAAAACCCUUAACGAGGAACAAUUGGAGGGCAAGUCUGGUGCCAGCAGCCGCGGUAAUUCCAGCUCCAAUAGCGUAUAUUAAAGUUGUUGCAGUUAAAAAGCUCGUAGUUGAACCUGGGGUCUGGUUGGCCGGUCCGCCUCACCGCGUGCACUGGACCGACCGGGCCUUUCCUCCCGGGGAACCGCAUGCCCUUUGCUGGGUGUGCUGGGGAUCCGGGACCUUUACCUUGAGAAAAUCAGAGUGUUCAAAGCAGGCCUAUGCUCGGAUGCGUUAGCAUGGAAUAAUAGAAUAGGACGUGCGGUCCUAUUUUGUUGGUCUCUGGGACCGCCGUAAUGAUUGAUAGGGAUGGUCGGGGGCGUCCGUAUUCCACUGUCAGAGGUGAAAUUCUUGGAUUUGUGGAAGACGAACUACUGCGAAAGCAUUCGCCAAGGAUGUUUUCAUUAAUCAGUGAACGAAAGUUAGGGGAUCGAAGACGAUCAGAUACCGUCGUAGUCUUAACCAUAAACAAUGCCGACUAGGGAUCGGGCGAUGUUACCUUUUUGACUCGCUCGGCACCUUACGAGAAAUCAAAGUGUUUGGGUUCUG